rnacentral:rRNA from 1 species
UACGAAGGGGGCUAGCGUUGCUCGGAAUCACUGGGCGUAAAGCGCACGUAGGCGGAUUGUUAAGUCAGGGGUGAAAUCCUGGAGCUCAACUCCAGAACUGCCUUUGAUACUGGCGAUCUCGAGUCCGGGAGAGGUGAGUGGAACUGCGAGUGUAGAGGUGAAAUUCGUAGAUAUUCGCAAGAACACCAGUGGCGAAGGCGGCUCACUGGCCCGGUACUGACGCUGAGGUGCGAAAGCGAUG